rnacentral:lncRNA from 1 species
AACAAUCAAACAACAUACAGAUUAAUCCCAAAACAUCAUUAACUAAGUGGCAUGAUUUAUAUAUUUAGUCAUAUUCCAUGCAUUCUUUUACAUCUUAUUUAUACGAACGUUUAGGCAUACAUAUAUCAAUUUUUCGACACACAUCAAUCACAUAUAAGCACAUAUGAUUACAUUUAGUCACAUUAGUUAUAGAGUAUGAUAAUUUGGCUCUUGAGUUUAUAAAA